rnacentral:lncRNA from 1 species
AUGGUGGGUGAUGGCCAUCCCAUGGUGAUUGGAGGGUUUUCAAAGUGUAGGAAGAGAGGAAAGCUUGAGACUUAUAGUUUUGAUCUCAGCAACAGCUGGGAGAGAGUUUUUCUCAUGGCAUGCAGUUGAUGGUUCACCUUAAGAAAUUUUCCAGUAAAUCGUGUGAUGUUGAAAUGUAUAGUAAAAAUUACUUGAUAGUAAUUUUCACAAAAACAAAAAUAUACAACAUGGGAAGGAAUUUGGAAAUAGAAGAGGUAUUGUUUAUCUUUUGCUUUAA